UACAGAGACUGCAAGCGUUAUUCGGAUUUACUGGGCGUAAAGGGUGCGCAGGCGGCCGUGUGUGUGAGGCGUGAAAGCCCGGGGCUUAACCCCGGAAUUGCACCUCAAACUACAUGGCUAGAGCAUUGGAGAGGGUAGCGGAAUUCACGGUGUAGCAGUGAAAUGCGUAGAUAUCGUGAGGAACACCAGAGGCGAAGGCGGCUACCUGGACAAUUGCUGACGCUCAGGCGCGAAAGCGUGGGGAGCAAAAGGG
rnacentral:rRNA from 1 species